AACGGAGCUUCGGCUCUGGGAUCAGUGGCGAACGGGUGCGUAACACGUGGGCAACCUGCCCUUCACUCUGGGAUAACCCCGGGAAACCGGAGCUAAUACCGGAUACUCCGCUCCCACCCCAUGGCGGGAUCGGGAAAGGUCCGCCGGUGAGGGAUGGGCCCGCGGCCUAUCAGCUUGUUGGUGAGGUAACGGCUCACCAAGGCGACGACGGGUAGCUGGUCUGAGAGGACGACCAGCCACACUGGGACUGAGAUACGGCCCAGACUCCUACGGGAGGCAGCAGUGGGGAAUCUUGCACAAUGGGCGAAAGCUUGAUGCAGCGACGCCGCGUGAGGGAUGAAGGCCUUCGGG
rnacentral:rRNA from 1 species